AAAAUCCCAAUGGUUGAAAAGACGCAGUGUGAAAUAUUUGUCUGCGAUAUGCUUUGUCAGUUGAGUGCUGUGAUCGUCUUCGAUAACAGCCUCGUUAACACCAUCUUCGUGAUCUCUGAAUAGAGGAAAGGUCGAUUCCAGAUUAAAAUGUUGGCAAACUGCAAUAAUCAUACUGUUCUUCAACUUUGCCCUGUUACUAAUAUGCUGAUUGUCGUUGCCUGUCACCGUUGCUUUGAAAACGUGUUCGCAGAACUCUAUACAACGAUACACCGCUGUGGAUGGAAUCUGUAAACCACCGUUGUUCACGAAGUUGACGAAAGCUGACGCUUUUCCAGCUUCAUGAUAUUUUGUGGCAGUAUAAUCAUGGUCAUCUACGGAUAACGAUUUUGGUAAAGGACAAAGGCAUCGUUUGCAUUCUGGGCAAGAUAAAUUGUUGACUAACUUCGAAACUAUGUAUCCUGCAAUAUAAAAUAUAACGUUCGAAAUAAAUUCGCUGUUGCCUUCUUGGAGAUGUUGCACCAUUGCAUUAAUUUUAUUGUCAGUGUCUUGGGCAGCAGUUUCUUGUGACUGAUUAUGUAAUGUGGGUGAAUGUUUUCUUGUACGAAAAGUGGUAUCAGGUUGUUGCAGCCAGUAAAGUCCAAACAGUUUGCAUUUUUUGAUGCAGUAAUGGCAUUUCUCAUCAACAUUUUUCGAAGGGCAUACUUCAUUUGGAGACUGUUGGGGUUGUUGUUCCAUCCACCUCUUGAGCGAAUGCAGGAAAACAGGAGUUCAAUAUGGUCCUGUGAAUAUUUGUAGGUUAAGAGAUACUUGAAUGGAUUGAUGGAUGAAGAGAGCAUCUGUGUUGCCAUUGAAAUAGUGGAUUUGAUGCAGGUUUUGAAGUUGUUCUAUGUAACUCCACUUUAUAAUGUUUUCCUUGCCAUCCUUAAAAGAACCAAGUUGGGCCAGUGCAUUGCGUGCAAGCUUUAACAUAUGGCAAGGGUCAAGAAUUACAAACACAUCUUCGCCAGUAGUUGGAUGGGUAAAUGAAGACCGCAUUUCAUCAUAUGUACCGUUAAAGUUGCAACCAAGACUUUCAAAUGUAUGAAGAUUUACAGCAGUACCAUCAGCUGUUACAGACCAUACCUUUAAACCUGCCUUUGAUGCCUUUUCAAGACAUUGUAUUACCAAUGAUGCUUGGUCUUUACCAUUGAUUUUGUCA